GAAGCAGAACGAUCCAGAGCCAGAGAAGGAGCAACUUCUCCUCCCAAGUCUUCACUCUGGGGAAGACGCAGAGAGAAGGUGGCGGUUCCGCUUCAGCUGUCCUGAACUUAAAACCAUCCGCUGCGAGAUCAAAAGAACAGAAUGUACCAAGAGUGUUUCCUGUGACCGAACCUGAAGAGACCGGCUGUCCAGAACAGACAGCCACCGUCAAGGAGUUGAAGAAACCUUUGGCAGCUGAAGCCGGAAACGUGACAUCCAAACACAAGUGUUUUCACCAAACACAAAAACAGGGAAAGUACAAAACAGUAGAGAGAAGUCUUACUUUGGUUCCUUAUGCUUUGCUUUUAAGAAACAAGACUUUCUUUGUUAUGAGCUUCUAAGGUUUUUUUCCUGUUUGUUUUUCACCGAUUAUUGACUAUUUUCGGUGGAGCUCUUCCUCAUCCAUUUGUCUCUUAAUCAAACCAUUUUCAGGGAAAUAAGGGUUUUGGUUCCCAACUUUCAUCUAAUGAUAUGCCCCUCAGGUUGCUGAAAACAUCUAAAUAAUUUAAGCCCAAAAUGUAUAAAAAAAUGAUCAGUUUCUUUCAAAUAAGGGUGUAAGGUCAUUAAAGGUUAAUUAUUUGCUUCUGACCUUUUUAGAGCGGCAUACUUUGCCAGAGGUUAAUUCAUAAAUAACUUAGGAUCAAAUCAGUGAAACUACCUAAUUAAUAAACUUAGUCAUUUGCAUUUUAAUUGAAAAGUUGUAUCUCUCAUCGACAUGCCAGCAACAUGUCAUAAGCGCUGUCAUUUAUCGCAUCAAUUUGACCAUUAUGGUUGCACAACAAGUGUCAUUUAUUGUCAGACUGAGCAGAAAAAACGGACUGCUUUAUUAACUUGUGCGUUUAAAUUUGAUCACUAAGACUAUACAGCUCACAAAUGUCUUUUUCUUUCUCUGAUCGCUCAUUGAUUUGUUUUUCAUUUAUUUUUACUCUUAAAGGUCUAAUAGAACACCAACCAUACUUAUCUCAAAUCUUAUAUAUAUAUAUAUAUAUAUUCUUCAUUAUAAGCUACAGUCUUCGUGCUCUGCAGAGAAAGUCCCAUUCCCACUGCAGUCUGAUUAGUAAGAUUUAAUCUUUUAGCUCAUUUCCAAUGCUUUAUCUCAUGAGGUCCUUCACUGGUGUGUCAGCCCACCUCCCUACCCUCAGCACACCUAUGUUGCAUAAUUAAACUUGAAUUAGAUCAUUAGCAUACAAAGCAGGAAACCUACCGCCGUGGAGUCAUACAUAUUUAUCUGGAUGUGCCUGACUUAUGCAUGCAAACCUUCAUACUGUAACCCCUUUUGCAUGCAAACACGGUUCUCUUGUGCAAGAGACAAGCAAGCAGAUACUAUGAAAUGGAUAUGAACCAUAGUGUGUUGGUUUUAAGAAGCAUACAUUUAUCUGUGGGCCAUCCAAGUAAGGUUUUUGUUCAAGCAGGCUUUUUAAAUCAUGCAAGGCUGGCUGUAGAGAAUGUGUGCAUUUGGAAAUGGAGCAGAUGGAUUUUAAUUAGGAUCAUUUGGGAAGGUUGCUUUCAGUGCAUCAAAUAUUGCUUGCACACAGAGGAAUGUUCUGAAACGAGUAAUGCCUGCAAUCCAAACUCAUCUGCUGCACAUUAACAAACAAAAAAGACAAACAGAACACAGCCUUCUGAAAAAUCACGUGUUGCUUUAUGAAUGACUCCUUUUCUCUUCUUUCCCUUCCGUCCUUUCCACUAGAAAUUAACUCUCUCCUUAACCACCCUCCCUGCAUCUUGGGGAUCCCUUUCCAGUCUUCUUUUUCCUUCCAGCUGGUCCCUCCUUUUGCAGCACCAUGGACUGCCCCAUUAGUAUUCCUUCCUCCUUCCUACUUUUCCCUUCCUCCUGUGAGAUUGCUGUUGUGUCUUAUGGCUUUUUAUUCCUACGUGAUGGUAGAAUGGUUCAUGUAGGAGUAGAAGCCACUAAACACGCGGUGAGUGCUCGACAUGCUGGCCAGCACAUGCAGAGAGCUUCCUGUGGAUAUGACAGCUGCCAUGUUCACAUCAAUGUGCUGCCCAUUAUCCUGAAUGCACACGGUUUAAAUAUAGUUCAGGGAGAUCACUGAAAGCAGGGCUGCUUUUAGACCGAAGGUGCAUAUAGAUUUGUUAUAUUGUUGUAAAAUCCUCAGCCACUUUCAGCAAAAAAAAAAAAUUCAAUCCUUCCACCAGAAUUGUCUUAGCAAACCUAUUUUCCCCCAGCUGCAUGGUGGCUGCUUCCAUCUUGAAUUCAAAAUUAAUUCUUCACUUCCCUGCCCUGUGGCCCUUGAUCAAAACUGCAGCUGGGAAGAUCUCGAAACCACUAUCGAAAUAAAUUGACUCACUCAGGUAGGUCAUUCAAUACUGUCUAAAUCUAUUUGCUGUUCUCCUGUGAGGCAGAGACGAGGACAUGUUGGUUCACAGAAACAGGCCGCUUUAAAUCUCUUUGCUAGUGCUGAGAGGUUUCCACACUUUCAAUUUCUAUGUAAACCGCCUGGUUACAUAGAAAUUCCAGGAAAAUAUCUCCAGUUAUACAAAGUGAAAGUUCUUCAAAAGUACAACCUGUUGGGUAGAAAUGCCAAACUCUAAAAUCAGUACUUUAGAUUUAUUUGAUCUAUGGCAUUUAGGGGUGUAACAUAAGAACCAGAUAGCAUCCAUUUUUACAUAGAUUUCAUAGUACUGUGAAGUAGACCCAACCAGGAAGUGCCAUGUUACACAACUCAAUAAUUGUCUUUCCUGCGCCCUAAUAAUCUAACAUUUCUGGUUAAUGCAUACAGUAAAUCUGCCUUCUGUUUGCAUCGUCUUUAUAAUCAUUGUAAUUUUUACCCAAUUUCAAAUGCAAUGAUGUUAAGCAUUAUCCUUUCUUGACCAUUUAAUGGAGGCUAAAAUAAAUUACAGUAUGAAAGGUAAACCAGACUUGAGAAUUAUUAAAGUGUAACCUGAACAAAAACAAAAUGAAAAUAUGAUUUUAUUGCUUCACAUACCCGAACUAGGAUAAACAAAGUCUGUUAAAAUGUUUAUGGUGCCUUAUUCUGAUUCAUUGUGAGUCCCAUUCUUAGUGAUUUUCUCUGUACAAGGAGGUGUUUGCAAAGCAGCAGGAGACCGACUCGAGUCUGUUUAGUUAGACUCAAUGGGGCCGCGGUCUAAUGUUCCAAAUUCCACUACAUCAAAGUGGUGCAACUAUUUUAAACAUUUUCUUUACAGUAGUAAAAGUUAGUAUUUGUGGUAACCUUGAAGCACCAGAUUUUUAAUACUUCCAACAAACCUUCCUGAUGGAUUUCUGGAUCCAUUUAAAACUUGAAGGCAGGAAACUUUAACUCAACUCAAAGCGACUCCCUUCAUUUCCCUCCUAAAUUAUGUACAAAUUCUGGCACCCUAAUAAUGGCGCAGCAGUAUUUUUCGCCUGAGCUGAACUCUGUGUCAACUAAUUAAGCAAGAAACUCAAAUUAUCCUGCUGGUAGGUCUGUCAUGUGCUGCAGGGUUUGGGUUUAAAUGUCAACUCUGUGUUUGUAUUUGCUGUGAAAUUCGCUGCCAGCCCGCUCGCCUUACACACAAGCUGAAUAAAGUCUAUAAACAGGCAGAAGCCAAGAGCUGAAUUAUUAAUCCCUGGAUAUUACAAGAAGCUGACACAUGUUUGCAGUUGUGGGACAUUACUACUUCGCUGAUAUGAGAUGCAUAAUAAUUUGAGAUGAAAACUAGAUAAGUUCUGCUGAAGUUUAAUGAUUUAUCUCAAAGCUGUAAGAUGUUGUGAUCUAAUAUUCAAAGGGGAGGGUUGACAAGUUUCUGUUGCUUGCAUUAUCUGUUUAAUUUAUUUUUCAGGUUCCCACCUCCACAUAGGCUUUUUCUCUGCUUUAUUGAGUCGUGAGGGGGUCUGAGAGAAUAUUUGAACAGAAGGAAGACAUUAAAGAAAGCAGUGGAAGGCUUCGAUUUUUAAACCUGUAGGGGUCCCUGGGAACCUAAAGGUGGGAAUGAGCAGAGAUAGAGUCUAUGGGAAAGAGCCUGCAUUAUUUACAGCGGCACAGGCUCAUAAAGAGAAAGCAGUGUUUGAAUAGAUUGCUGCUGUCUUCUGUCUCGCCUGAGGGUGUGUUCCUCGGUUUGUGAUCCACCCAGACCUAAAAACCUCACAUUCAAAUGUCAAAAUAAGACAGACAGCAUUUGGGCUCAUUUUAACAUUGACAUCGGUUCAUUUUUUUCCAAAUUCCGACUUUCAUGACUCUACGGCUCAUGAUGAGAUUCUGCAAGGUCGCAGAAUCCUUCAAGUUCAGGUGGAAGUCAAUCAACUCGGGUGCAGGGGGAUUUUCCUCUGACAGAUGCAAUAAUGUGGCGCGUUUGUGUACAGUAGGUUUAAUGUAUGAGUAUUGUUCUACUUUAUCUCCACCCUGCUUCAGGCUCUGCUUUGAUUUUCCCUGUAAUAAAUAAUGCUCUUUUGUCUUCUAUGCUGCAUUUGUUCCCAGUUGUAAUCUCUCUACUGCUCAAUAAAUUAUGAAUAA